rnacentral:rRNA from 1 species
GGUGGUUAGCAGUAAGUUUUUAAUUUUAAAUUUUAUUGGUAAAAUUAAGAGUGAAAUCUGGUGUUUUUUAAAGUGUAAUGUUAGAUUGAGACUUUUUGCAAGGCCAUUAAGUUCGAGAUAUAAAAAAGGAUUAGAUACCCUUCUAUACUUGAAUUAAAAAUAAUCACUUGAGUAGUAAUUAGUUAUAUACUUUAAACUUAAAGAAUUUGGCGGUAUUUAAGUCUAAUCAGAGGAACCUGCACUAUAAACGAUAAACCACGAGUAUUUUGCUUUAUUUUGUAUUGUUCAGUAAGUAUACCGUCAUUAUUAAGUAAUUCUUUAACGAGUGUAUAAAAAUAAGAUUUUUUUAAGAUAUUAGAUCAAGGUGCUGCUUAUAAUAAAGUUUGUUGUGGGUUACAUUAAUAUUAAAUUAUACGGAUAUUUUUAGGAAGUUAUAAUUUGAAGGUGGAUUUGAUUGUAAAAUAAGUGUAUUUAGCUUGUUUGAAUAAAGCUCUUGAAUAUGUACACAUCGCCCGUCGCCCUCGCUAU